rnacentral:rRNA from 1 species
UACGAAGGGUGCAAGCGUUACUCGGAAUUACUGGGCGUAAAGCGUGCGUAGGCGGUUCGUUAAGUCUGUCGUGAAAGCCCUGGGCUCAACCUGGGAAUUGCGAUGGAUACUGGCGAGCUAGAGUACGGUAGAGGAUGGUGGAAUUCCCGGUGUAGCGGUGAAAUGCGUAGAGAUCGGGAGGAACACCGGUGGCGAAGGCGGCGAUCUGGGUCGAUACUGACGCUGAGGUGCGAAAGCGUGGGGAGCAAACAGG